rnacentral:rRNA from 1 species
CCUACGGGUGGCAGCAGUGAGGAAUAUUGGUCAAUGGGCGCAAGCCUGAACCAGCCAAGCCGCGUGAAGGAUGACUGCCCUACGGGUUGUAAACUUCUUUUGUAAAGGGAUAAAGUGCGGCACGUGUGCCUUUUUGUAUGUACUUUAUGAAUAAGGAUCGGCUAACUCCGUGCCAGCAGCCGCGGUAAUACGGAGGAUCCGAGCGUUAUCCGGAUUUAUUGGGUUUAAAGGGAGCGUAGGUGGGUUGUUAAGUCAGUUGUGAAAGUUUGGGGCUCAACCGCAAAACUGCAAUUGAUACUGGCAGACUUGAGUACAGUUGAGGUAGGCGGAAUUCGUGGUGUAGCGGUGAAAUGCUUAGAUAUCACGAAGAACUCCGAUUGCGAAGGCAGCUUACUAAACUGCCACUGACGUUGAGGCACGAAAGCGUGGGUAUCAAACAGGAUUAGAUACCCGGGUAGUC